rnacentral:rRNA from 1 species
GAGCUAAUCCUAAGAAAAGCGGCGUCAGUUCGGAUAGGGGGCUGCAACUCGACCCCUUGAAGCCGGAAUUGCUAGUAAUCGCGGGUCAGCUAUACCGCGGUGAAUACGUUCUCAAGUCUUGUACUCACCGCCCGUCAAGUCAGGGAAGUUGGGAGUACUCAAAAGCUCACUUUUGUGAGCCUACGGUAAACUCAAUGACAAGGACUAAGUCGUAGACGCAAACUGCGUCUGUU